rnacentral:lncRNA from 1 species
UCGCAGCUAGGCGAGGGGUGUGAGGCGGCGCAGGGCCUGGGCCAUCCCGGGCCCAGCAGCACCGCCUGGGAAGCGCUCGGCCGCCGGACUGGAGUCAGCGGAGCAGGACCGCGCCCUGAGCGGCCGGGCGAUGGGGUGUCGGCCACCGCGCCUCUGGGGGGGGCCUCCCUGCGGCGCCUGGGCGGGGUGCUCGGCCGCAGGAGAGCCCCUGGGCCCGCCUCGGUGCGGGGCCUCUGGGGAGCGGGGGCUCGCCACCGCCCUCCCGUUCUGUUCGCCCCAGCGGCAGCUCCAUGGGGGGAGUUGAGCAAUAUUUCGGGUUGCCAGUCUUGGUUGGAUCUGUUCUUGGAGGUGUUUUCAUGCGAGAUUAUCUCAGUUGGGUUCUCCCUAUACUUCCAUGCAAAACAUAACAUGGAACUCUGAUAGCAAAAGCUAAAAAAUUGAUUGUGCAGAGAAGAGAAAUGCACAGUCCAACCCUGCAAAAAGUGUGUGACUGAAGUUUGAGAAAGUGGGAAUGGUUAAAAAAAAACAACCUCAUUUCUGCAUCACCAGGACAAAAUGAAGUGUUCCCAUUUAAAUAUUUGAUGUAUCUAUUGAAAAAGAAUACCUACUUAUUUCUAUAACCUGUAUCCUCCUUCACCUUUCUGCUGUAUGUUAGAUUAAUGUCAAGUCCGGCAUUUGGACUGUAAACUUUUUGGGGGUAGAAAGCUGUCUUCUGUGUGUUUUCCCACUUAACCCAUCUGUGGACACUAUGAAAUAUCAUCUCCACAGCUGUAGGGAGGAGAAGAAAGAAGUGAGAAUGGGGAAGGCUUUAAGUUUAAUGGGUUGAUGAAGGGGAUAGAUUUUUGAUAUAUUGCAAAAGGGUAGCAUUCACUGAAAACAUUUGUUAUAUACUUCUACAGAUUUUAAUUUCAAAAGAGGAUUUUGCAACAAAAAAAGAACAUAGCUAAUAGCUGUUGGAACUCCCUUCUCUUCACUGAAAGCAUUUAUGUUUUGAAAGCAAAGGUAUGCCAAUGCCUGAUCAGCACAUGUAAAUUCUAGAAGGGGAAGGAGCCAGUAGCCUGCCAAAAGACUGAGAAAGAGGCUUUGAGAUGCAAUCUAGAAGCAUUUUCAUGCUAAAAUAAAUGACAAGAUCACAUUUCCA